AUUGAACGCUGGCGGCAGGCCUAACACAUGCAAGUCGAGCGGUAGCACAGAGAGCUUGCUCUCGGGUGACGAGCGGCGGACGGGUGAGUAAUGUCUGGGAAACUGCCUGAUGGAGGGGGAUAACUACUGGAAACGGUAGCUAAUACCGCAUAACGUCGCAAGACCAAAGUGGGGGACCUUCGGGCCUCAUGCCAUCAGAUGUGCCCAGAUGGGAUUAGCUAGUAGGUGGGGUAACGGCUCACCUAGGCGACGAUCCCUAGCUGGUCUGAGAGGAUGACCAGCCACACUGGAACUGAGACACGGUCCAGACUCCUACGGGAGGCAGCAGUGGGGAAUAUUGCACAAUGGGCGCAAGCCUGAUGCAGCCAUGCCGCGUGUGUGAAGAAGGCCUUCGGGUUGUAAAGCACUUUCAGCGGGGAGGAAGGCGGUGAGGUUAAUAACCUCAUCGAUUGAAGUUACCCGCAGAGGAAGCACCGGCUAACUCCGUGCCAGCAGCCGCCGUAA
rnacentral:rRNA from 1 species